UUAUUAUAGAGGAGCACCCUGGGCCCUCUAUAAUAGGAUGCUCACUCCAAUCCAUUUUAAAGGUUACUGAUUUGUAGAGCAUUAUUAUGAUAAUUGAUGCUAAUAAUAAAUUCCAGAAAUUCAUCACCCUUUAUAUUUUAGCAUCUAAUUAAAUGAUUUGUUUAUGGAAAAUAGUAUAUCAGCUUUAUGCUAGUCAUUAAUGUACAUUUUGACUGUACAAAUGAAAACUGGAAAUAGCUGUAAGAGAAAUUCUCAGAAUCAACUAUUGCUAUUAAUAUGAGUCAUGUACUCAUAUACUCACCAUUUUCAAGUAGGAAGAGGAUCACACAGUUCCUCAUCGGAUAUGUCGUGCUAUAUGAAAAGCAAUGGCAAAUUAGGGCUAUUCGGAACGAGCAAGGCGUUGCUAUGCUUGUGGCUGAUCAUGCCACUUCUCGUGUCAUCUGAAGAGAUGGUGUUAGGACGAGGGCCCUGGUUAGGACGGAAAUCGUGUGACUGUAAAUAUUGCCUGACGUGGAGUGGCAACCUUUGCAUCAAGCCCGGAACCUGCAAUGUGCCCUGCAAGGCCGCAGGCUAUGACAACGGCCACUGCGAAUUCCUCCGCCUAUGCUACUGCUGCAAUAACUGCAAUGGCUAGCUCCCCAGUUCGUACGUGACACCAAACGCAUGCUCUGUCCGAGUUGUUGCUACGUGUUCAUGUAUGCCUGAUUUGCAAGUGAAAUAAAAUACUCUCUCCGUUUCUUCGACUUAA